rnacentral:lncRNA from 1 species
AGCAGCCCAGGGAGAGUCUCUGCGUCCUCCAGCCCCCGCUUCCCUUCAUGUCGGAGGUCCUAAGCCCGCAGCGAAGUCCGCAAAGAGCUUUCCCCGACGCCUACGAGACCGGAAGUGCCUGGGCCCAGGUGGAGGAAGGACCCGCGUGGCCGCCUCCGCGCUCUCCCUGGGGUCCGUGCCCCUUCCGGCGUUUCUCCCGCGUCCUUCACCAUGGCAACUCGGGCGUCGGGAGCGUGGGCUGCGAGCCGAGUGGGUGGGGGAGCCGCCGGGCUCUAUCCGCCAGCCCACGAGAAGUGACGCAGGGGCUGGGGCGUCCAGAUCUGGAGAAGCCGGGGGCCUUGGUCACACUCAGAGCUGACGUCCAGUGCGGCCCUUGCUGAGGACUCGAGCGAACAGAUCUCUACCCAGCCCCCGCCCCACGCGCACCCAGCCUGGGUCAGCUCGCCCUGCCCGCAGCCACGCAGCUGGUGGCUAAGCGCGGGCUCCGGGUUCAGGCUGCCUUGAGCUCUGUUGGUUCCCUCUGAAAGUGCUGAUAAUGAUAGCAGGAGCACCAUUGAAGGAGAAUUAGACAAACUGGAGUCUACUGAGAUGAGGCUGUUGGGAAUGGCCCUGGUACCACAUCCUGAGCAGGGAUGGCCGAUGGAAUGGGGAGAAGACUCAGGUGGGGCUUGAGUGUGUCCUCUGAUGACUGAAGAGCCUUGGGAGCAAGCAUCCUUCCUGCUACUGUGUGUUUGCUGGUUCCAAUGAUACAUAAUUUGUGCUUUUCGUAAUUAAAGUAUUAUCCUGUAGAAAAUGUAUUGGAGACGUAGGAGAUGAUGAAAUCACAUCUAGGAUUAACAUCCUAGAAGGAGCCUCGGAGAGCUGU